rnacentral:lncRNA from 1 species
AGCAACUCUAACAAAAGGUCUGAGGGACCCACUGGCUUCUAGGUGUGGCGGGAACUGGAUCCGAUCUGGCUCGGCGACAGCCUUGUAACUUCUGAGUCCAGAGCUUCACCUGUUACCCUCAGUAGUGUCCGGCGAUGAUCCGGCGUCCUAAGCCGAAAAUAUCCGCCCCUCUACUCCCAGAAACCUUUUCUGUCUCCCAUCUGAGCUACAAGCAAACCGUUUCCUAAACCAAAUAGAACCGUAUUUUAACAGUCCAAAGACUUUCUGCGCUACUGCAACAGCCUCAGUCCUAUCUUUUACAGCCAGUCUCCUCCUACGGAGAGUCCAGGACCUCCAAAGAAUUUCCACCUUCUAGAACCUCCUGGUGACUUCCCAAGGCUUUGCAACGACCAGAAAACUUCCCACUUAAACUGACCGCUGGUCUGCCAUUCACCUCUUUAUGGCAGUCUUGCUUGGAACUUGAUAGUUAAAAACGCAGCUCUGCAAGGAAGACAAUUUGAGUGUAAAUCUAACCAUCACUUCAAAACUUUCCACCGUGCCUUAAAUUGUGAGCUAAUUUCUAUUUAUUUAUUUAUUUAUUUAUUUUGGUUUUUCGAGACAGGGUUUCUCUGUAAUAGUUCUAGCUGUCCUGGAACUCACUCUGUAGACCAGGCUGGCCUCGAACUCAGAAAUCCGCCUGCCUCUGCCUCCCAAGUGCUGGGAUUAAAGGCACGCACUACCACUGCCUGGCCCUUUUAUUAUUAAUAAUAAUCAAUUGAAAUUUUCUUGUUCUUUGCAAAACGGGAUUCACCCAGGAUUACCUGCCUCCCAGAGCUGUACAAAGGAUUCAAUGAAAUAAUUCAGACCAUCUCACAGUACUGGGGAUGUAGCCCAGUUGAUAGGGUGCUUGCUCAGCAGGCACAAACUGGGAUCAGUCCCCAGCGCUGUGGAAACAUGGCAUGAUGGCCCUUGCAGUCCAAUAACAUUGGUAAGUAUUAUAAUACUUUCUCAAAAGCCAGGCAUUGAGGCUAGGGAGAUGGCUCGGUGCAAUAGUCAGGGAGGUGGUUCACUGGCUCAGGUGCUUGCCAUGAAAGCAUGAAGAUCUGAAUUCAGAUCCCUAGAAUUUGUGUAAAAACUAAGGCCUGGUACCUGUAAUCCCAGCAUUGUGGAGGCAGAGAUGAGAGGAUCCCUGGGGCCUGGGGCCAACAGUUUAACCAGUCUGUGAGCCCCAGGAUAAAAGUGAGGGGCUGAAGAGAUAGUGCAUCAGUGAGGAGAACUGGUUCUGGUAGAGGACUCGAGUUCAGUUCCCAGCAUCCACAUGGCAGCUGACAACUGCCUAUAAUUCCAGUUCCACUAGAUACAAUGUCCUCUUCUGACCUCCAAAGUCAACAGUCAUGGGGCACAGACUUACCUGAAAGCAAAAUACUUAUAAAUAUAUAAUAAAAAUUAAAUUUUAAAAAAGUAAAGACUUGAGGAAGAUGCCAACCUGAAUCCCUCGCCUCUAUGUGUGCAUACACACAGGCACUGUCAUCCACACCUACAAGUCCAUAUGCUGCCACCACACACACACCACACACACACCACAUACACACUACACACACACACUCACACUCACACACACCACAUACACACACACUCACACACACAGAGGGGGUAAGCGUGUUGGGCUGUUUAGAAGAUGGAUAUUGAGGUCAGCUAGGUCUGUGUAGUGAUACCCUACCCUCCAAAUAAAGCAAAAACGUUCCUCAGGAAAAGUGAUCCUUCCAUCUUAAUCAGAAAUCUUGCUAUGGUUUUAGAAUGUUCCACCCUCUGUCCUUGGUUUUGAGAUAUUUCUAAACUAGAAUUGACCAAACUGUGUUGGUCUUGUUUUCUUCUGGGACCUCAGUAUUAUAUGUUUAUUAGGGCAUGAUGGCUAACACCUAUAAUGCUAGCACUCAGGGGGUUGAGGCAAGCCUGGACUAUAUAGUACAUUCUAGGCCAGCCUGGGUUACAAAAUGAGACCCUAUCUCAAUAAACAAAUAAACC